GAUGAACGCUGGCGGCGUGCCUAAUACAUGCAAGUCGAGCGAACGGACGAGAAGCUUGCUCCUCUGAUGUUAGCGGCGGACGGGUGAGUAACACGUGGAUAACCUACCUAUAAGACUGGGAUAACUUCGGGAAACCGGAGCUAAUACCGGAUGAUAUUUUGAACCGCAUGGUUCAAAAGUGAAAGACGGUCUUGCUGUCACUUAUAGAUGGAUCCGCGCGGCAUUAGCUAGUUGGUAAGGUAACGGCUUACCAAGGCAACGAUGCAUAGCCGACCUGAGAGGGUGAUCGGCCACACUGGAACUGAGAAACGGUCCAGACUCCUACGGGAAGCAGCAGUAGGGAAUCUUCCGCAAUGGGCGAAAGCCUGACGGAGCAACGCCGCGUGAGUGAUGAAGGUCUUCGGAUCGUAAAACUCUGUUAUUAGGGAAGAACAUAUGUGUAAGUAACUGUGCACAUCUUGACGGUACCUAAUCAGAAAGCCACGGCUAACUACGUG
rnacentral:rRNA from 1 species